rnacentral:tRNA from 4 species
UGGCCCAUGGUGUAACGGUAGCACAGCUGGUUUUGAUCCAGUCAGUCCUAGUUCAAAUCUAGGUGGGCCAG